GACGAACGCUGGCGGCGUGCUUAACACAUGCAAGUCGAACGGUGAAGCGAGUGCUUGCACUCGUGGAUCAGUGGCGAACGGGUGAGUAACACGUGAGUAACCUGCCCAUCACUCUGGGAUAGGCACUGGAAACGGUGUCUAAUACUGGAUACGACCAACCCUUGCAUGGGGUGUUGGUGGAAAGAUUUAUCGGUGAUGGAUGGACUCGCGGCCUAUCAGCUUGUUGGCGGGGUAAUGGCCCACCAAGGCGACGACGGGUAGCCGGCCUGAGAGGGUGACCGGCCACACUGGGACUGAGACACGGCCCAGACUCCUACGGGAGGCAGCAGUGGGGAAUAUUGCACAAUGGGCGAAAGCCUGAUGCAGCGACGCCGCGUGAGGGAUGACGGCCUUCGGGUUGUAAACCUCUUUCAGCAGGGAAGAAGCGAAAGUGACGGUACCUGCAGAAGAAGCACCGGCUAACUACGUG
rnacentral:rRNA from 1 species